rnacentral:tRNA from 1 species
GGCUGGUUGGCGCAAUGGUAGCGCGUGGUCCUCCUACUGGAAAGGUAAGACCGAGGUUGCGGGUUCGACUCCCGUGCUGGUCG